UACGUAGGGGUGCGCGUUGUCCGGAAUUAUCGUGGCGUAAAGAGCUCGUAGGCGGUCUGUCGCGUCUGCUGUGAAAACUCAGGGCUUAACCCUGAGCUUGCAGUGGGUACGGGCAGACUAGAGUGCGGUAGGGGAGACUGGAAUUCCUGGUGUAGCGGUGAAAUGCGCAGAUAUCAGGAGGAACACCGGUGGCGAAGGCGGGUCUCUGGGCCGUAACUGACGCU
rnacentral:rRNA from 1 species